UACGUAGGGUGCAAGCGUUUAAUCGGAAUUACUGGGCGUAAAGCGUGCGCAGGCGGUUUUGUAAGUCUGACGUGAAAGCCCCGGGCUUAACCUGGGAAUUGCGUUGGAGACUGCAAGGCUUGAAUCUGGCAGAGGGGGGUAGAAUUCCACGUGUAGCAGUGAAAUGCGUAGAGAUAUGGAGGAACACCGAUGGCGAAGGCAGCCCCCUGGGUCAAGAUUGACGCUCGAUGCACGAAAGCGUGGGGAGCAAACAGG
rnacentral:rRNA from 1 species